GAUGAACGCUAGCGACAGGCUUAACACAUGCAAGUCGAGGGGUAGCAGGGGGUAGCAAUACUUUGCUGACGACCGGCUCACGGGUGAGUAACGCGUAUGCAACUUACCUAUCAGAGGGGGAUAACCCGGCGAAAGUCGGACUAAUACCGCAUAAAACAGGGGUCCCGCAUGGGAAUAUUUGUUAAAGAUUUAUUGCUGAUAGAUAGGCAUGCGUUCCAUUAGGCAGUUGGCGGGGUAACGGCCCACCAAACCGACGAUGGAUAGGGGUUCUGAGAGGAAGGUCCCCCACAUUGGUACUGAGACACGGACCAAACUCCUACGGGAGGCAGCAGUGAGGAAUAUUGGUCAAUGGGCGCGAGCCUGAACCAGCCAAGUCGCGUGAAGGAUGAAGGUUCUAUGGAUUGUAAACUUCUUUUAUUGGGGAAUAAAGUGCAGGACGUGUCCUGUUUUGUAUGUACCCAACGAAUAAGCAUCGGCUAACUCCGUGCCAGCCGCCGCCGUAA
rnacentral:rRNA from 1 species